rnacentral:rRNA from 1 species
AACGCGAAGAACCUUACCUGGGUUUGACAUGCACCAGAUAGGCGUAGAGAUACGUCUUCCCUUGUGGUUGGCGUACAGGUGGUGCAUGGCUGUCGUCAGCUCGUGUCGUGAGAUGUUGGGUUAAGUCCCGCAACGAGCGCAACCCUUACCCUGUGUUGCCAGCACGUGAUGGUGGGGACUCGCGGGAGACUGCCGGGGUCAACUCGGAGGAAGGUGGGGAUGACGUCAAGUCAUCAUGCCCCUUAUGUCCAGGGCUUCACACAUGCUACAAUGGCUGGUACAGAGGGUGGCGAUACCGUGAGGUGGAGCGAAUCCUCAAAGCCGGUCUCAGUUCGGAUCGGGGUCUGCAACUCGACCCCGUGAAGUCGGAGUCGCUAGUAAUCGCAGAUCAGCAGUGCUGCGGUGAAUACGUUCCCGGGUCUUGUACACACCG